UCGGCUGCAGUGAGUGAGUCAUGGCGCUACGCAUGGUGAAGAUUCGAGCUUCCCUGAAAGGAGUUGAUGAGUGAUGGCUCCUCUUUUGAUGCAAAGUUUAGUGUUCGUGUUUCUCACUUCCACACUCAUCUCCUCUAUGAUCUGAGGUUCAAAGAUUUUGAUUCUAAAUUUACUCGGCAUGGUUAGACGCAUGCUUUCCAAAAAGAUUUUCAUUUUAUCUUCCAUUUCUUCUUCAUCAUCAUCGUCAGUUCGUCUUCCUCUCUUUCAAAUUUGUCACUUCCCUCGCUCGUUGAGUAACUCCUCAUUACUUAGACGCCAUUAUCAUGAACCCCAGAAUAUACCAAUUCCAGUAUGGUGGGAUUUUAAGAAUUGCCUCCCACCGUCUGCUGUGAAUGUUUUUAGAAUUGCUCACUUCAUAAUGGAGGCUGUUAGAGCCAAAGGAAUCAUGGGGCCUCUCCGAAUUAAGGCAUUUGGUGAUGUUUAUUAGCUCACAAGGUCCAACCAGGAGGCUCUCGCGUCCACUGGGAUCAAAAUCAUCCACGUUCCUAAGGGUGGAAAGAAUAGCGCUGAUAGAUCUCUUCUCAUUGACCUUAUGCUUUGGGUUUCCCAAAAUCCUCCUCCGACACAUUUGUUUCUAAUUUCAAGCGAUAAGGAUUUUGCUGAAGUAUUACAUCGUUUGUGAAUGAAUAACUACAAUAUCCUAAUUACUGGUAUAAAUACUUCUCAUUGUCUAUGCAGUGUAACAACUAUAGUAUGGCACUGGAAUUCAUUACUCAGAGGAGAAGAUCUUGGUGGAAAACA